UCACUAUGAAGUGAAUUGCUUUAAUGAUGUUCUUGACUGGAUACUUCAAGAGCUUGACAGCCGCUUCAAUGAGACUAGCUCUCAAUUGCUUGUUUGCUCGGCCGCUUUCAAUCCAAGAGACUCAUUUUAUGAUUUCAAUGUAGAGAAUUUGAUGAGCCUAGCAAAACUGUAUCCUAAUGAUUUUAAUUUUGGAGAUUUGAGGGAUCUUAGCCAUCAACUUUGCCUCUACAUCGUUGAUGUACGAGAAGAUGACAGAUUCUCCAACAUACAAACUAUUGUUGAACUUUCUCAAAAAAUGGUAGAGACAAGGAAGUAUCUUUGUUAUCACUUGGUUUAUCGACUUUUGAAGCUUGUACUAGUAUUGCCUGUCGCUACUGCUACAGUUGAGAGGUGUUUUUCAGCUAUGAAGAUUGUGAAAACUUAUUUGCGCAAUCGCAUCGGUGAUGAAUACUUGAGUCAUAGCCUUAUUUGUUAUGUGGAGAAAGAAGAGAUGAGGAAAGUUACCAACGAGGUUGUGGUUCGUCGUUUCAUGAAAAUGAGUGGACGUAGAUACGACGAUUAAAAGGCUGUCGAGGAUCUUGAGGUCGGAUGAUAUAUUUUGCCGAUACCGACCAUCUUUUGUUCAUUACUAUACUAACUCAGUAACCAAUAUCAGUUCUAUCAGCAUCACUGAUGUCUGGGAACCAAUAGAAGAAGGCCUUGUCCCAUUGGAGAUGACUAGGCAUGUUUCGAUGAUUUCAAUUACUUUGUCUCCCAAAGAGCUGGACAAGAACACUCCUGGGUACCAAGCUCCAGACUAUAUUCAACAGCCCAGGCAACAGCAGCACCUCUAGCAGGCGCCACCACUGCAGCUCCAACCUCGCCGACCACCAGGCCAAUACCAGCAGCUUGAUUAUGAAGGUACAACAGUAAAAGUUCUCAAU